rnacentral:lncRNA from 1 species
AAAAAAUCUGAGGCUGUAUCAUCUAUGAAGGAAAGAAGCUGUUCCUGCUCAUAGUUCUUCAGGUCUAUGCAGGAUGCCAGCCGCUCCUCAGCUCUGGUGAGGGUCUCAUGGAGAACAACACAAGGAUGCGCCAGAAAUGUGUCCACGAGAGGUCACAUGGUAACCUUGCAGGUGUCCAGAUGGGAGGGCGAGCAGAACCACUCAACACUCAGGUGGACGUCCAUACUCAGUGGUGGAUCCAGGAACUUCAGAACAGAUGUCAUCUCUUGGAUGUCUUCAUCCCUGGAAAAAGUAAUAGUCUAUAAGAAACUACUCGAUCUCAGCUCAUCUAAUCAGAUAGAAGCCAAACUACACUGAGGAGCCAUUCUCUCACCUCAUCAAUCUUGCACAAGAAUGAUUUAAUUGUCUCCUCAAUGUAUGUCAUUCAUGGGAAAAAUUCUGUGUUCAAUAACAUCAGCUGCAGAAGCUGGGAGUCCUAUUAAAG